CAAAGGUUUGGUCCUGACUUUAUUAUCAACUCUAGCUAAACUUACACAUGCAAGUAUCCGCACCCCUGUGAGAAUGCCCUACAGUCUUCUUCCCGAAGACAAGGAGCAGGUAUCAGGCACAUACAUUAAGCCCACGACACCUUGUUAAGCCACACCCUCAAGGGAACUCAGCAGUGAUUAAUAUUAAGCAAUAAGUGAAAACUUGACUUAGUUAAAGCUUAGAGGGCCGGUAAAACUCGUGCCAGCCACCGCGGUUAUACGAGAGGCCCAAGUUGACAAUCGCGGCGUAAAGAGUGGUUAAGAGGUAAAUUGAACUAAGGCCGAACGCUUUCAAGGCUGUUAUACGCAUCCGAAAGUAUGAAGCUCCGUCACGAAAGUAGCCUUAAUUGUCUGAACCCACGAAAGCCAGGGCACAAACUGGGAUUAGAUACCCCACUAUGCCUGGUCUUAAACAUUGAUAGUACAUUACAUUUACUAUCCGCCUGGGAACUACGAGCAUCAGCUUAAAACCCAAAGGACUUGGCGGUGCUUAAGAUCCACCUAGAGGAGCCUGUUCUAGAACCGAUAAUCCCCGUUCAACCUCACCCUCUCUUGUUCUUUCCGCCUAUAUACCGCCGUCGUCAGCUUACCCUGUGAAGGCUUAAUAGUAAGCAAAAUUGGUAUAACCCAAAACGUCAGGCCGAGGUGUAGCGUAUGAGAGGGAAAAAAAUGGGCUACAUUUCCUAAAAUAGGAAAUACGAAUAUUGUACUGAAACGUACAUUUGAAGGAGGAUUUAGCAGUAAGCAAAAAAUAGAGUGUUUUGCUGAAAUUGGCCCUAAAGCGCGCACACACCGCCCGUCACUCUCCCCAAGCUCCCUUCUAACUAUAACUAAUAACUUAAAUUUGCAAAGGGGAGGCAAGUCGUAACAUGGUAAGUGUACCGGAAGGUGCACUUGGUUAAU
rnacentral:ncRNA from 1 species